rnacentral:rRNA from 1 species
AUGAGCGGCCGUCGGUCGCCCACAAC